rnacentral:rRNA from 1 species
UGACGUUAGCUGCAGAAGAAGCACUGGCUAACUCCGUGCCAGCAGCCGCGGUAAUACGGAGGGUGCGAGCUUUUUCGGAAUUACUGGGCGUAAAGCGCAUGCAGGUGGUUCGUUAAGUCAGAUGUGAAAGCCCGGGGCUCAACCUCGGAACUGCAUUUGAAACUGGCGGACUAGAGUACUGUAGAGGGGGGUAGAAUUUCAGGUGUAGCGGUGAAAUGCGUAGAGAUCUGAAGGAAUACCGGUGGCGAAGGCGGCCCCCUGGACAGAUACUGACACUCAGAUGCGAAAGCGUGGGGAGCAAACAGGAUUAGAUACCCUGGUAGUCCACGCCGUAAACGAUGUCUACUUGGAGGUUGUGGCCUUGAGCCGUGGCUUUCGGAGCUAACGCGUUAAGUAGACCGCCUGGGGAGUACGGUCGCAAGAUUAAAACUCAAAUGAAUUGACGGGGGCCCGCACAAGCGGUGGAGCAUGUGGUUUAAUUCGAUGCAACGCGAAGAACCUUACCUACUCUUGACAUCCAGAGAAGCCAGCGGAGACGCAGGUGUGCCUUCGGGAGCUCUGAGACAGGUGCUGCAUGGCUGUCGUCAGCUCGUGUUGUGAAAUGUUGGGUUAAGUCCCGCGACGAGCGCCACCCUUAUUCUUGUUUG